rnacentral:rRNA from 1 species
GACGAACGCUGGCGGCGUGCUUAACACAUGCAAGUCGAACGGAAAGGCCCUGCUUGCAGGGUACUCGAGUGGCGAACGGGUGAGUAACACGUGGGUGAUCUGCCCUGCACUUCGGGAUAAGCCUGGGAAACUGGGUCUAAUACCGGAUAGGAGCCAUUUUUAGUGUGAUGGUUGGAAAGUUUUUUCGGUGUAGGAUGAGCUCGCGGCCUAUCAGCUUGUUGGUGGGGUAAUGGCCUACCAAGGCGGCGACGGGUAGCCGGCCUGAGAGGGUGGACGGCCACAUUGAGACUGAGAUACGGCCCAGACUCCUACGGGAGGCAGCAGUGGGGAAUAUUGCACAAUGGGCGCAAGCCUGAUGCAGCGACGCCGCGUGGGGGAUGACGGCCUUCGGGUUGUAAACUCCUUUCGCUAGGGACGAAGCUUUUUGUGACGGUACCUAGAGAAGAAGCACCGGCUAACUACGUG